UUUGUGGCAUGCCAAACCUCCCGCUUUUAUGGCAAUGUUAAAUAUAACAUUAAAAUGACAACAUUACAUGACAGAACUAUAAUACAAAUAAAUGGGAGAACAUAAAGGACAGAGAAACACACGAAUAAUAGCUAACAAAAGGUACCAGGUUUAAAAUUUAAUACGCCAGACGUGCGUUUCGUCCACACAAGACUAACCAGUG
rnacentral:lncRNA from 1 species